GAUGAACGCUGGCGGCGUGCCUAAUACAUGCAAGUCGAGCGAACAGAUAAGGAGCUUGCUCCUUUGACGUUAGCGGCGGACGGGUGAGUAACACGUGGGUAACCUACCUAUAAGACUGGAAUAACUCCGGGAAACCGGGGCUAAUGCCGGAUAACAUUUAGAACCGCAUGGUUCUAAAGUGAAAGAUGGUUUUGCUAUCACUUAUAGAUGGACCCGCGCCGUAUUAGCUAGUUGGCAAGGUAACGGCUUACCAAGGCAACGAUACGUAGCCGACCUGAGAGGGUGAUCGGCCACACUGGAACUGAGACACGGUCCAGACUCCUACGGGAGGCAGCAGUAGGGAAUCUUCUGCAAUGGGCGAAAGCCUGACGGAGCAACGCCGCGUGAGUGAUGAAGGUCUUCGGAUCGUAAAACUCUGUUAUUAGGGAAGAACAAAUGUGUAAGUAACUGUGCACGUCUUGACGGUACCUAAUCAGAAAGCCACGGCUAACUACGUG
rnacentral:rRNA from 1 species